UACGUAGGUGGCAAGCGUUGUCCGGAUUUACUGGGCGUAAAGGGCGCGUAGGCGGUCUUGCAAGUCCUGUGUGAAAUCCCUCGGCUCAACUGAGGAACUGCACAGGAAACUGCUUGGCUUGAGUUCGGGAGAGGGAAGCGGAAUUCCGGGUGUAGCGGUGAAAUGCGUAGAUAUCCGGAGGAACACCGGUGGCGAAGGCGGCUUCCUGGACCGACACUGACGCUGAGGCGCGAAAGCUAGGGGAGCAAACGGG
rnacentral:rRNA from 1 species